rnacentral:precursor_RNA from 10 species
ACGCUGGAUUCAUUGCAGAUAACCUGAUAUACCCUGUAGACCCGGGUUUGUGUGUAACAGAACGUUGGCUAUGACAGAAGCUCUGCUCUACAGGUAUAUUUGGAUUGCACGUACGACACAAGAGAGA